AACGUUGUAGAAGAUAGAGAAAUCUGAAAUAAAUUGUGCUUGGGUACAAAAGAUGUUUCCAGAUAUUUUAGCUUGCUGUUAUCUCAGUGUGGUUAAUGUUGGUUGCUAUGGGUAAAAGUAUCUAGUUAAUUUAUAUUCAAUGCUUCCAAGAUUAGUAUAUUUUGAGGCAAGUAAUGGAAUGUGGCGCGUUUUCGCUGGAACAAGGAUUAGUUUUCUGAUAAAGAAUUAGUGCAGACAUUUUGCAACAUAAUUUUCCAUGAAAAAUAAAAUAAUGGUUCAAAUCAACAAAUGCACAUAGUUGGGCUUCUAAAUCAUGCACUUAUUGUAAAUGAUAAGGAUUAUUUGCUGUUGGAUUUGAGUCGUAGAUAAGUUGAUGAUAAUGUAAUUCUUAGCCUUUGUCAUAGCGCUUACUUCUAGAAAGUCGAUUCUUUUGGCAAUUUUAGUUCAAACUUCUUUUUUAGGAUACAUAGAAAACUACUGCUUAAAUAUGUAGUUAACAUUUUAGAAAAUAUGUCUCGAUACGCCACUGGUCAGACCGAACUAAUCAAAAGUAAUCAACCAAUGCCCAUUACAACGCUUCUGUAAUUUAAUAUCAUAACAAGUCGUUCUAUUUAUUAUUAUUGCUUAUUAGUUAACACCUCGUGCUCGUCUAGUUAAGGUUGUUUAUUGUUUCAGAGUUCAACUCAUCGUGUCAAAGAUGUCGCGCGUAGCCGAAGAUAUUAAAUAAUUCAACAUCUGCUGGACUAAUUAGAAUUUAGAAUAAUCUGAGAUUUUAAAAGCUAUAAGCCGAAAUAUACGUAGAAUGUAAUUAAAUAUUUGUUUCCAACCUAUGAAAUGUAAUUUAAUUAUCAUUUCAAAUGUAUCUGGUUUACAAAUAACAAAAUACACAAUGAAUACAACAAAAGCUUUUCAUCUACCCACCGUAAUAAAAACUAAGAGCGGCAUUUUGAUUUGCGGGUCCUAACACUCACACACGGAUU